rnacentral:rRNA from 1 species
AUGAACGCUGGCGGCGUGCCUAAUACCUGCCAGUCGAGCGAACAGACGAGGAGCUUGCUCCUCUGACGUUAGCGGCGGACGGGUGAGUAACACGUGGAUAACCUACCUAUAAGACUGGGAUAACUUCGGGAAACCGGAGCUAAUACCGGAUAAUAUAUUGAACCGCAUGGUUCAAUAGUGAAAGACGGUUUUGCUGUCACUUAUAGAUGGAUCCGCGCCGCAUUAGCUAGUUGGUAAGGUAACGGCUUACCAAGGCAACGAUGCGUAGCCGACCUGAGAGGCUGAUCGGCCACACUGGAACUGAGACACGGUCCAGACUCCUACGGGAGGCAGCAGUAGGGAAUCUUCCGCAAUGGGCGAAAGCCUGACGGAGCAACGCCGCGUGAGUGAUGAAGGUCUUCGGAUCGUAAAACUCUGUUAUUAGGGAAGAACAAAUGUGUAAGUAACUAUGCACGUCUUGACGGUACCUAAUCAGAAAGCCACGGCUAACUACGUG